UGGUCAAACUUGGUCUUCUCAGU
rnacentral:piRNA from 1 species